rnacentral:rRNA from 1 species
UACAGAGGGGGGCAAGCGUUAUUCGGAAUUAUUGGGCGUAAAGGGCGCGUAGGCGGCUUGGCAAGUGGAUGGUGAAAUCCCCUCGGCUUAACCGAGGAACUGCCGUCCAAACUGCUUCGCUUGAGACCGGGAGAGGUGAGUGGAAUUCCCAGUGUAGCGGUGAAAUGCGUAGAUAUUGGGAGGAACACCAGUGGCGAAGGCGGCUCACUGGACCGGUACUGACGCUGAUGCGCGAAAGCGUGGGGAGCAAACGGG